GCACUGCUGAGGAGUCCCAUAAUAAGACGAAACGGCAGUCCAGUGC
rfam:Schistosoma rodhaini strain Burundi genome assembly, scaffold: SROB_scaffold0011216